rnacentral:rRNA from 1 species
GACGAACGCUGGCGGCGUGCUUAACACAUGCAAGUCGAACGGAAAGGCCCUGCUUUUGUGGGGUGCUCGAGUGGCGAACGGGUGAGUAACACGUGAGUAACCUGCCCUUGACUUUGUGAUAACUUCAGGAAACUGGGGCUAAUACCGGAUAGGAGCUCCUGCUGCAUGGUGGGGGUUGGAAAGUUUCGGCGGUUGGGGAUGGACUCGCGGCUUAUCAGCUUGUUGGUGGGGUAGUGGCUUACCAAGGCUUUGACGGGUAGCCGGCCUGAGAGGGUGACCGGCCACAUUGGGACUGAGAUACGGCCCAGACUCCUACGGGAGGCAGCAGUGGGGAAUAUUGCACAAUGGGCGGAAGCCUGAUGCAGCAACGCCGCGUGCGGGAUGACGGCCUUCGGGUUGUAAACCGAUUUCGCCUGUGACGAAGCGUGAGUGACGGUAAUGGGUAAAGAAGCACCGGCUAACUACGUG